ensembl:lncRNA
GGGCAAGUCAGAAUGGUAUUAGGUUUCAGGGCCUCAGAAGCUGGCGGACUCGGACUGUGGCUCCACAGCUACACCUCACAGGUUGGUGUUGCCGCCCCGGGAGAUUCCUGAGCGUUGGUUCUGGAGGCAGCCCGAGCAUGCGCAGCUCGCUGCCUGGGGUGUCCGGCUCCUGUCAGGGCAGUCCCGCAAGAGCUCGACAUCUCUGCGGGAUCCAGUUUCUAGUCCCCUGACUGUGCUCCUGAGAGAGCCCAGACCUCACUAUGCCUCCAAGUUUUGUGAGCGGUCAGGAGUCUGAGGGGACUGAGGUUUACUUGAUGUGACGUGUACGAGACUCCUGAGAACAGCUCUGGAACCGCGGCCCUCUGGUAUCCAGGACACUAAGCAGAUCUUCCUGACCCAGAGAUGGAACAUAUGUCUCCUGCAUUCCAGGUGGAUUCUUUACCUCUGUGCCACCU